rnacentral:rRNA from 1 species
GACGAAGGGGGCUAGCGUUGUUCGGAAUCACUGGGCGUAAAGCGCACGUAGGCGGAUUGUUAAGUCGGGGGGUGAAAUCCUGGAGCUCAACUCCAGAACUGCCUUCGAUACUGGCGAUCUUGAGUCCGGGAGAGGUGAGUGGAACUCCGAGUGUAGAGGUGAAAUUCGUAGAUAUUCGGAAGAACACCAGUGGCGAAGGCGGCUCACUGGCCCGGUACUGACGCUGAGGUGCGAAAGCGUGGGGAGCAAACAGG